CCUGCCUCUUAGCGGGGGAUAACUAUUGGAAACGAUAGCUAAUACCGCAUAAAAGUCGAUAUCGCAUGAUGUUGAUUUGAAAGGUGCAAUUGCAUCACUAAGAGAUGGACCUGCGUUGUAUUAGCUAGUUGGUGAGGUAACGGCUCACCAAGGCGACGAUACAUAGCCGACCUGAGAGGGUGAUCGGCCACACUGGGACUGAGACACGGCCCAG
rnacentral:rRNA from 1 species